CACAAUGAUGGAAGCAUCACAAUGAUGAAAGCAUCAUAAUGAUGAAAACACCAUAAUGAUGAAACAUCAUAAUGAUGUUUCUUUGGUGGAAUUGUUUUUCAUUUCCCCUAACACCCUGAAUUGGUUUUCAAUAUAAGACCAUCAUAUGUAGCUCGAAUCACAAAGUUGUCUUCAUGAAAGUUGUUCUUUAAUUCCUUAACUACAACAUAUCCAAAUUUGAGAGCCAUCAGAUCAGUACAACUCGAGAAAUUCAGGUACGACGAGUGAUUGUUCAUCAUUUGUCUGUCAACACGUCAGACCUGUUGUGAGCUUCAAAAACUCCAUUUUCUCUUGCUUAGAUCAACAUACUUUCUUCAUCGAAGUUGUUCCUCAGCUUGUGAACUACAACAUAUCCAAAUUUGAGAUCCCUC
rnacentral:lncRNA from 1 species